CAGCCUUUGUGGAACACAGUACUUGUGAUCAACGGGGCGAGAGAAUUCACCACAUGAGGCUUUUGAGUUGGGAAGAAACGCAAAGUUUCCAUCCCAAACUGCCAUUUGUGCACUGUUCAAUGCAGUGUCCCAAAUCCUGAGAGCAGUUUUUCCCAUUUUGUAGAACAGGUAGCUAACAUCCAGUCUUUACCUGCUGGAGAAGAUUCCUGUCAGGCUUUUGCUGUGCUAUCUCAGCACAUGUUUUGUCUGUGAUAAUCACUAGUUUCUGUGUGGGGAGCUAUGAAACUUGUUGGUGCCAGGGAUUAUUGUAAGGAUGUUUGUGUGUUAUAUCCGUGUCAUCGUGGAUUUGGGAUACUCGGGAGUGCCUUUGCUGUGCCCGCUGCUUUUGUGGGAUGCUUUUAUUGCCAUGGAUUGGCUGCUUAGUCGCAAUUUACUCAGCCCCUCUGCUUAACUUGACCAGUUCUGCCACUGCAAAGCAGCCCAGAGAAUGAAUCCUGAGCCGAACGAUCCUGCACUGCUAACGGCACUGAUAAGCCCCGGGAAGGGACGGAUGAGCCGCUCCCUCCGCGGCCACUGAAGGGCUGCCUCCCAGAAGAUGGAGCUAUUUCCCCGAGACUGCUGAUGGAGACCUUGUGUGUCUCCAGUGUGCCAUCCCAGGGACUCAGCUGUCCUUAGCAUAAUGCACCCAUGAGUAAUUGGAAGCUGCAGGUCCCUGUUACUGCUCGCUCCCUGCAGCAACACCCCUCAAAUCCUCAGUGAGAACAGGCAACACCAGCAAGGCCCCCAAAGUGUCACAUUCUGAACUGGAGGGAUCUUGGCAAGGUGGUUCCUGUGGGUGCUCCGAGGGAUGACAGAGCCAGGGAUGUCACCCCCACGUACAGACAUUCCCAGUGCCAGCACAGCAGAACUUUACCCAGGUGGGAUUCAACAGCUUUUUACUUUACAGCAGCACAAAUUCUUGAGACUGGGCAGCGUUGAGAUAUCGUUUGUUACAAAUCCUUGAAAGCGCCUGGCAAGGGAUCCACUGUUCACUAACAGCGACAAAAAUGCCUCAUCUGGACCAGUGAAUUCCAAGUGUGUGGGAGGAGGUUUCCUCCCAAAGCCACAAAAUGAAUGACAGACCUUCAGUCAUGUUGGAGUGUUCUGGACCAGCACUGCUGCUUCUACCCCCACGCUGCAGUGGGGCUGUCCCUCAGUGUUCCUGCUCCAUCCAGAGCAUUCCCAGCUGUGCUGAGCAGGAUUUGGUGCUCUCAGGGAGAGGUGAGUCCUCACCAGCUCCCUGUGCCGUGAUUCCCACCUGAAAAAGAGAUGAAAUAAUAGUUUUGGAGUUGGCUCUUUGCUUGGGAUGAUGAAAGUCACCAAAUUCCUAAGGAGAACCAGGGAACUUCAGGAGAAUUCCCUUUGCCAGUCCUUGUGGAGCUGUCCAGCUGCCAGAUCUGUUACAGCAGCCAAAUGACAUGCACACACCUGCCAUUAUUCCUUACCAUGGGCUCUGAGGGAAAGGUGGGAGCACCUGGGAAUAAUCCUGAGCUUCCAUUGAAUUGUGGAGCUGAUUACAGACACUCCCAUUUCUCUGGAGGAAGAGUGUGUCAUCCUUGGUGCUCUGCCAGGUUCUGUUUAAUUGCUCUUUAUUAAGAGCAGCCCCAGGCACGAGAUAGUCCGUACAGAGGCCACGAUCCGUCCUGACCCAGCUGCAUCCCACAGCUUGGGAGGAACCUGCUGUGAGGCUCAGCCAGUAAACAUCCCCUGCGGCAGAACCCAAAGCAGGACCCCACAGCAGGUGAAAAACAAGGCCAGAACUGCCUUGCAGGGUUUCACCAGCUCAAAUGAGACUGAGAUAAUCCCAGCAUGACACUAUGAAAGUCACCCAGAGAAGAGUUUGAACUGUUGGCUGAUCGAGUUUUUAAUAUUAAAUUGUGAUUUUGCCUUAGAAAUUGCCAUUAAAGACACCACAAUUAAAGGGUGAAGGCUAAAAAAGUGUCAAGACAGCAAGCGUUAACAAAUGUCUUGUUUCCAUACCCCAAGAUCUGUUAAAGACAAAGCCAUCAUGAAAACUUGUGAUUUGAAAAUUGUGAAAUGUGAAUGUUGGAGUUUCUUUCCAGUUUUACUGCAAAGUGUUGCCGUUUUGUGGCUUCACUGAUCUUCCCCUCACUGAAGCGCUGCAGACCAGGAUGAACCCCUGGCCUGGAGCUCAGAACCCAUUAACCUCCUACUCCAUAUCCAUCCCAUGCCAAAGCCCCAGGGCUCUGCUACAGCUACCAAAGAGUCAGGCCUUUCCUGGUGCCUGCUUUGUGUGGCUCCUGGGAGGUCUGCACUUUUGUAAUGAUAGAAAUAAUUAUAAAAAUAUUAAUUUAAGUAGCAAAAAUAUUGAAAGCACAUGUGUGUGUUUGGGGAUGUGUGUAGCAGGGGAUCACCCUCAGUCCUGCACUGGGGACUGUUUCUCAUCCCACAGUCCAAGAUAAUACACAUUUCAGGGUCCCUGUUGUGAGCAAGUAUUUAAAGACUAACGUUAAAGGAGAAGAAACCUCUCCAAUCAAUUGUGAAAGUAAAACCAGCACUGAAACUGCUACAGAAAUGGAAGCACAGCUAGGAGAAAAUUAAAAACAGCAACCCCAGAAUACCUGUCCUAAUUAAACCUUUGCUGGGAAUACGUGAAUUAAAAUAGGAAUGACACUUGAAUUAAUAAAAGAGCAACAGAAUGUUUCA